GGCUAAGCCCUUUUAUUUGUUUUGUGAAUAAUUACCUUUUCUGUUGCUAAUUAAUACCCUUUUUUGUGACUUCACUUUUAUCGAGUUGAUAAUGUUGGUAAUCUUUUCUAAUUGAGGUGCUCGCUAGUCACCAACACUAUGUUCUUGUACUGUGUUUAUUAAGAUCAGUUAAGGAUAAACCAAAUUCCUUUAUUCUUUGACUGAUCUUUUAUAGACUUCCCUAAACUCUGUUCAUGUGGCUAUCAAUAUUGCUAUGUUGGUUGAUUAUCCUAUAGCUUUUGCAAAUGCUGUAUGAUCAUUUCUUAGCCUUUU
rnacentral:misc_RNA from 1 species